rnacentral:misc_RNA from 1 species
GAUGAAGAACGUAGCGAAAUGCGAUAAGUAGUGUGAAUUGCAGAAUUCAGUGAAUCAUCGAAUCUUUGAACGCACAUUGCGCCCCUUGGUAUUCCAUGGGGCAUGCCUGUUCGAGCGUCAUUUGUACCUUCAAGCUCUGCUUGGUGUUGGGUGUUUGUCUCGCCUCUGCGUGUAGACUCGCCUCAAAACAAUUGGCAGCCGGCGUAUUGAUUUCGGAGCGCAGUACAUCUCGCGCUUUGCACUCAUAACGACGACGUCCAAAAGUACAUUUUUACACUCUUGACCUCGGAUCAGGUAGGGAAACCCGCUGAACUUAAGCAUAUCAAUAAGCGGAGGA